GGAAAAUCCCAAUUUAAGAACCCUACACUUCCCCCCAAAACCCCAAUAGACACAGAAAGAGCACUUCACAGAUCCAUCGGACGCUGAAUCAAGAUGUAUUACAGAGGAAACUACAUGGACAGUGGUGAUGCCCGUGAAAUGGGCUUCAAAAGGCAACGCAUAAUGGAUCAAGGUUCCUCUUAUUAUGCUACUCCUCCAGGGUCAAGUUAUAUGUACAAUCCUCCUCCUCCUCCACCUCCACCGUCAUACUCUUACCAUGGACAGCCUCCACCAUUCCCUGUUGUUCGACUCCGUGGCCUCCCAUUUGAUUGCUCAGAGACUGAGAUUGCUGAUUUCUUGCAUGGUUUGGACGUAGUUGAUGUGCUUCUUGUCCACAAAGGUGGAAGAUUU
rnacentral:misc_RNA from 1 species